CCUACGGGUGGCAGCAGUGAGGAAUAUUGGUCAAUGGACGAAAGUCUGAACCAGCCAUGCAGCGUGCAGGAAGAAGGUGCUAUGGAUUGUAAACUGCUUUUAUACGGGGGUAAUAACAGACACGUGUGCCUGGUUGAAAGUACCUUAUGAAUAAGGAUCGGCUAACUCCGUGCCAGCAGCCGCGGUAAUACGGAGGAUCCGAGCGUUAUCCGGAUUUAUUGGGUUUAAAGGGUGCGUAGGUGGUCUGGUAAGUUAGAGGUGAAAGUUUGAUGCUCAACCGUGAAACUGCCACUGAUACUGGCAGACUAGAGUGUAGUUGCGGAAGGCGGAAUGUGUGGUGUAGCGGUGAAAUGCUUAGAUAUCACACAGAACACCGAUUGCGAAGGCAGCUUUCCAAGCUAUUACUGACGCUGAGGCACGAAAGCGUGGGGAGCAAACAGGAUUAGAUACCCGUGUAGUC
rnacentral:rRNA from 1 species